GAUGCUGUGAUGAGGUGAGGCACCGAAUGGUGUCCUUUGGGCAGUGGAAGAUGCACUGGAUUGUGCCUCCCGUGAGCCCUUUUCAAUUAACGACUUCUCCUUCCACUGAGCAUC